GUAGGUGGCAAGCGUUGUCCGGAAUUAUUGGGCGUAAAGCGCGCGCAGGCGGUUCUUUAAGUCUGAUGUGAAAGCCCACGGCUCAACCGUGGAGGGUCAUUGGAAACUGGAGAACUUGAGUACAGAAGAGGAAAGCGGAAUUCCACGUGUAGCGGUGAAAUGCGUAGAGAUGUGGAGGAACACCAGUGGCGAAGGCGGCUUUCUGGUCUGUAACUGACGCUGAGGCGCGAAAGCGUGGGGAGCAAACAGGGAUUAGAUACCCUGGUAGUCCACGCCGUAAACGAUGAGUGCUAAGUGUUAGGGGGUUUCCCGCCCCUUAGUGCUGCAGCUAACGCAUUAAGCACUCCGCCUGGGGAGUACGGCCGCAAGGCUG
rnacentral:rRNA from 1 species